AAGCUAGUUUUACUUGCAGUAGUAGAUCCAGAGAGACACAGGAGCAUAUGUCCCUCCAGUCAAUUAAAAUUGAAAAAUGCAUGUAUUGGUAAAUUAUUCCAAAAUAUUUUGAAUAUGAAAACGUGAUGAAGAAAUAUUGAACACAACUCUAAAAUAUGAAUGUAUGGAUCCACCGCUAUAAAGAUAUUAUUAUAUUUUGUUUAUCAUUAUUCG